AACGAACGUUAGCGGCGCGCUUAACACAUGCAAGUCGAGCGAGAAGGGAGCAAUCCCAGUAAAGCGGCGCACGGGUGAGUAACACGUAGGUAAUCUACCUCGAGGUGGUGGAUAACCUUCCGAAAGGAGGGCUAAUACAGCAUGAGACCACGUUCUCGAAAGAGGAUGAGGUAAAAGCGGGCCUCUAUACAUAAGCUCGCGCCACGAGAUGAGCCUGCGGCCCAUCAUGGUAGUUGGUAGGGUAACGGCCUACCAAGCCGAAGACGGGUAGCUGGUCUGAGAGGAUGAUCAGCCACACUGGAACUGAGACACGGUCCAGACUCCUACGGGAGGCAGCAGUGGGGAAUCUUGCGCAAUGGGCGAAAGCCUGACGCAGCGACGCCGCGUGAGUGAUGAAGGCCUUCGGGUUGUAAAGCUCUGUGGAGGGGGACGAAUAAGGGUUGGCUAACAUCCAGCUCGAUGACGGUACCCCUUUAGCAAGCACCGGCUAACUCUGUGCCAGCAGCCGCGGUAAGAC
rnacentral:rRNA from 1 species